UACGGGGGGUGCGAGCGUUGUCCGGAAUCACUGGGCGUAAAGGGCGCGUAGGUGGCCUGAUAAGGGUGUGGUGAAAGUCCGGGGCUCAACCCCGGAUCUGCCGUGCCGACUGUUGGGCUGGAGUACCGUAGGGGCAGGCGGAAUUCCGGGUGUAGCGGUGGAAUGCGUAGAGAUUCGGAGGAAGACCGGUGGCGAAGGCGGCCUGCUGGGCAGUUACUGACACUGAGGCGCGACAGCGUGGGGAGCAAACAGG
rnacentral:rRNA from 1 species